rnacentral:rRNA from 1 species
UUUCGAAUCAUUCACAAUGGGGGAAACCCUGAUGGUGCAACGCCGCGUGGAGGAUGACGGCCUUCGGGUUGUAAACUCCUGUCACCAAGGAACAAACGGCAGGUUCAUAGCCUGUCCUGAGUUAACUUGGAGAGGAAGAGGUGGCUAACUCCGUGCCAGCAGCCGCGGUAAUACGGAGACCUCGAGCGUUACUCGGAUUCACUGGGCGUAAAGAGUAUGUAGGCGGUUUGGUAUGUCAGGUGUGAAAGCCCGAAGCUCAACUUCGGAAUUGCGCCUGAAACUACCGGACUCGAGGCCUGGAGAGGGGAGUGGAAUUCCUGGUGUAGCGGUGAAAUGCGUAGAUAUCAGGAGGAACACCAAUGGCGAAGGCAGCUCCCUGGACAGGUUCUGACGCUGAGAUACGAAAGCGUGGGUAGCGAAAG